CCUACGGGUGGCAGCAGUGGGGAAUAUUGGACAAUGGGGGCAACCCUGAUCCAGCCAUGCCGCGUGUGUGAAGAAGGCCCUCGGGUUGUAAAGCACUUUCAGUGAGGAAGAACGCCUGGUGGUUAAUACCCAUCAGGAAAGACAUCACUCACAGAAGAAGCACCGGCUAACUCCGUGCCAGCAGCCGCGGUAAUACGGAGGGUGCGAGCGUUAAUCGGAAUUACUGGGCGUAAAGCGCGCGUAGGUGGCUUGAUAAGCCGGUUGUGAAAGCCCCGGGCUCAACCUGGGAACGGCAUCCGGAACUGUCAAGCUAGAGUGCAGGAGAGGAAGGUAGAAUUCCCGGUGUAGCGGUGAAAUGCGUAGAGAUCGGGAGGAAUACCAGUGGCGAAGGCGGCCUUCUGGACUGACACUGACACUGAGGUGCGAAAGCGUGGGUAGCAAACAGGAUUAGAUACCCUUGUAUC
rnacentral:rRNA from 1 species